CAAUGGCCAGUUGAACAUUCGUUGAUAACGCGUUGCCGCUAACGUUUGUUUUUCGUCGCAAGAGAAAAUUUUUUGGAAUAUCAAACACAACACACACAAACACACCCACACAAACAGAGCACUCAAUUCCCUUAUCUCUUUGGUGUAAAGUGAAUUGGAGCUCUCUUCACUCUCUGUGUUGAUUUGAAAUUGGAAACUGUAACGUUUAUUUGAAAUAUUAAAGAAAACAUAAGAGAAAUUGAAUUAAAAAAGAAAAAUAACAAAAAAAAAGAAAUAUUUGUGUUAAAGUGACAGAAAAAUUGAAAAGCCAUUUCUGUGAAAAAUUGCAUUAAAAAUCUGUAUGUUGUGCAUUUGAAGAAAAAUCUUACUUUGGUAACAAUUGUAAAAGCAAUAAUCGAAAGUGUAACAUUUAUUUGGAAUUUUUCUUCAACAAAUUUCAUUGUGCUGAACAAGAGUUACAUUUCUAACCCCGACAAGACCAAGUUUAUUUCCUGUUGAAGUAAGGA